GCAUCAGAGGGGANUGGAAUUCCCGGAGUAGCGGUAAAAUGCGCAGAUAUCGGGGGGAACACCGAUGGCGAAGGCAGCUCCCUGGGAUGCACCUGACGCUAAGAGGCGAAAGCUAGGGGAGCGAACAGGAUUAGAGACCCUGGUAGUCCUAGCUGUAAACGCUGGGUGCUAGGUGUGGGACGUAGAAGUUCCGUGCCGGAGCAAACGCGAUAAGCACCCCGCCUGGGAAUUACGGUCGCAAGGCUAAAACUCAAACGAAUUGACGGGGCCCCGCACAAGCAGCGGAGCGUGUGGUUCAAUUCGAUGCUACACGAAGAACCUUACCUGGGUUUGACAUGUACGUGGUACGAAGGCGAAAGCCUAAGGACCCUUCGGGGAGCGUACACGGGUGCUGCAUGGCUGUCGUCAGCUCGUGCCGUGAGGUGUCGGGUUAAGUCCCGUAACGAGCGCAACCCUUGCCCUUAGUUACAAGUGUCUAAGGGGACUGCCGGCGGGAAGCCGGAGGAAGGUGGGGAUGACGUCAAGUCAGCAUGGCCCUUAUGUCCAGGGCUACACACACGCUACAAUGGUCAGUACAAAGGGUAGCGAAGUCGCGAGGCGGAGCGAAUCUCAACAAAGCUGAUCGUAGUUCGGAUUGCAGGCUGCAACCCGCCUGCAUGAAGCUGGAGUUGCUAGUAACCGCGCGUCAGCCAUAGUGCGGUGAAUACGUACCCGGGGCUUGUACA
rnacentral:rRNA from 1 species